UGGGGAAUAUUGGGCAAUGGGGGCAACCCUGAUCCAGCAAUGCCGCGUGUGUGAAGAAGGUCUUCGGAUUGUAAAGCACUUUCGACGGGGACGAUGAUGACGGUACCCGUAGAAGAAGCCCCGGCUAACUUCGUGCCAGCAGCCGCGGUAAUACGAAGGGGGCUAGCGUUGCUCGGAAUGACUGGGCGUAAAGGGCGUGUAGGCGGUUUACACAGUCAGAUGUGAAAUCCCCGGGCUUAACCUGGGAGCUGCAUUUGAUACGUGUAGACUAGAGUGUGAGAGAGGGUUGUGGAAUUCCCAGUGUAGAGGUGAAAUUCGUAGAUAUUGGGAAGAACACCAGUGGCGAAGGCGGCAACCUGGCUCAUUACUGACGCUGAGGCGCGAAAGCGUGGGGAGCAAACAGGAUUAGAUACCCUGGUAGUCCACGCCUGUAAACGAUGUGUGCUAGAUGUUGGGUAACUUUGUUAUUCAGUGUCGCAGUUAACGCGUUAAGCACACCGCC
rnacentral:rRNA from 1 species